rnacentral:rRNA from 1 species
UACGGGAGGGUGCAAGCGUUAUCCGGAUUCACUGGGUUUAAAGGGUGCGUAGGUGGAUCGGUAAGUCCGUGGUGAAAUCCCCGAGCUUAACUCCGGGGAACUGGCCGUGGAUACUAUCGAUCUUGAAUACUGUGGAGGUAAGCGGAAUAUGUCAUGUAGCGGUGAAAUGCUUAGAUAUGACAUAGAACACCGAUAGCGAAGGCAGCUUGCUACACAGUUAUUGACACUGAGGCACGAAAGCGUGGGGAGCAAACAGG